AAAGACCAGUCUUAAUGCCAUUUUUCUACGUCAAACUUCUCUCUUACAAACCCCUUUCACCUUCCCUCUUUUCCUUAUUCAAAAAGAGGCUUUCCCUUCAAACCCACCCUCAUUCCCCAGCUUAUUAAUCUUAUAUAUUUCGCAAUUUCAAAACCCACAAAAAUAUCUGAUUAUUUUCUUAUGUUCUAUGAGUUUGGCCUUUUUCAGUUGAUCCAUUUUCCUUCAUUUGCCUCCACAAUUCAGUGCUUGUACAAGAGCUUACUGUUAGCUUCUCAUUAUAUACUUGCUA
rnacentral:misc_RNA from 1 species